UGGGGAAUUUUGGACAAUGGGCGCAAGCCUGAUCCAGCCAUGCCGCGUGCGGGAAGAAGGCCUUCGGGUUGUAAACCGCUUUUGUCAGGGAAGAAAUCUUCUGAGUUAAUACCUCGGGAGGAUGACGGUACCUGAAGAAUAAGCACCGGCUAACUACGUGCCAGCAGCCGCGGUAAUACGUAGGGUGCAAGCGUUAAUCGGAAUUACUGGGCGUAAAGCGUGCGCAGGCGGUUUUGUAAGACAGAGGUGAAAUCCCCGGGCUCAACCUGGGAACUGCCUUUGUGACUGCAAGGCUUGAGUGCGGCAGAGGGGGAUGGAAUUCCGCGUGUAGCAGUGAAAUGCGUAGAUAUGCGGAGGAACACCGAUGGCGAAGGCAAUCCCCUGGGCCUGCACUGACGCUCAUGCACGAAAGCGUGGGGAGCAAACAGGAUUAGAUAGCCCUGGUAGUCCACGCCCUAAAACGAUGUCAACUGG
rnacentral:rRNA from 1 species